rnacentral:rRNA from 1 species
UUUCCGUAGGGGUAACCUGCGGAGGGAUCAUUACCGAGUUUACAACUCCCAAACCCAUGUGAACAUACCUACUGUUGCUUCGGCGGGAUUGCCCCGGGCGCCUCGUGUGCCCCGGAUCAGGCGCCCGCCUAGGAAACUCAACUCUUGUUUUAUUUUGGAAUCUUCUGAGUAGUUUUUACAAAUAAAUAAAAACUUUCAACAACGGAUCUCUUGGUUCUGGCAUCGAUGAAGAACGCAGCGAAAUGCGAUAAGUAAUGUGAAUUGCAGAAUUCAGUGAAUCAUCGAAUCUUUGAACGCACAUUGCGCCCGCCAGUAUUCUGGCGGGCAUGCCUGUCUGAGCGUCAUUUCAACCCUCAUGCCCCUAGGGCGUGGUGUUGGGGAUCGGCCAAAGCCCGCGAGGGACGGCCGGCCCCUAAAUCUAGUGGCGGACCCGUCGUGGCCUCCCCUGCGAAGUAGUGAUAUUCCGCAUCGGAGAGCGACGAGCCCCUGCCGUUAAACCCCCAACUUUCCAAGGUUGACCUCAGAUCAGGUAGGAAUACCCGCUGAACUUAAGCAUAUCAAAAGCCCGA